GUAGACCUCCAUCCGGAGCCAAGCUCUCUACGGUACAGGAAACGAUCGGCCGGUUUCGCUCUCGUGCCACUCGACGUGUCACGUGUGACGUUCGAACGCAAGCCACGACGGAUCUCGGAGCGGAAACGCGGCGCGCCGAUGACACAGUGAAUCCCGAAGGGAAGGGAAGGGUAGACGAGAAGUCUCGAACCGCCGACGUCUUCCGGUUGCCGCGUGUUUCCGAGUCGAUUCGCCGGCGCGAAUCUUCCGCGGCGUUGAUUCGAUUCCCCACGCGUCGCGAGGAACGUGUCGCUUCGCCGAAGUCUCUCACCCCGGAAAUCUCGCCGCCAGAGAAACAUCCUGCCAGUGUGGCACGUGCGAGGAUCCCGAGGGAGCAACGGCGACGAAAUCUGGAAGAAGUCGUCUCGCGAGAAGUCGAUUUUCGAAUUUCGAGUGGCGAACUCGUUGUGCCGCAGGUGCGAAACUGUCUCGCGUGUUACAUGCGGUGCGAGAGGGACGGUUGAGAGAGAGAGAAGAAGAAAAGAGAGCGGUGGAGAACACCGGAAGGGGAGGAAUUGCUGCAGCAGCCAGCUCGAAGAAACGGUGAGAAUGUGCGGCU